AGGAGUGGUGUAGUGGUAUCACAUCUUCCUUACCCGCAGAAGGCCCCGGGUUCGACUCCCGGCUCC
rnacentral:tRNA from 1 species